UUCGACAAGAGCGCAGGCGCAGCGCUAUAUUCACCCACAACUUCACUUCGGUCAACUUCGACUAGUGGUGAUCGAAACUUCGAUGUGUGUGGAAGUGAAUUUAACUUUUCUAACAUAAUCUCACAAAAAUAACAAUAAUCAGUAACUAAAGUACAAUUAUCUUAUUUGAUCGUGUUGGAAUAAACAUUUAACGUGUCGUUAGUUAUAUAAAUAGUAUUCAUGAUGUGUGAUAAUAACAGUCCUUCGACGCAAAGUAUAGCGGACUACUUAGCUCAGUUGCUCAAAGACAGGAAGCAACUGGCUGCGUUCCCGAAUGUUUUCAUGCACAUGGAGCGACUUCUGGAUGAAGAAAUAGCAAAAGUUCGAGCAAGUUUAUUCCAAAUAAAUGGAGUUAAGAAAGAACCACUCGUUCUACCAGAGCCCGAAGGCGUGGUCACCACACUCACAGAAAAAGUUUACGUGCCAGUAAAAGAACAUCCAGAUUUCAACUUCGUUGGAAGGAUUCUAGGGCCCAGGGGUAUGACAGCUAAGCAGCUAGAACAAGAGACGGGAUGCAAAAUAAUGGUCAGAGGAAAGGGUUCAAUGAGGGAUAAGAAAAAGGAGGAUGCAAACAGAGGAAAACCCAAUUGGGAGCAUUUGGCUGACGACCUCCACGUCUUACUCACAGUUGAGGACACUGAGAACAGGGCGAAGAUAAAGUUGGCCAGAGCUGUCGAUGAAGUCAAACGCCUGCUUGUACCUCAAGCUGAUGGCGAAGAUGAGCUCAAGAAGCGUCAGUUGAUGGAGUUGGCGAUCAUAAACGGCACAUACCGCGACUCCAGCACCAAGGCGGUGGUACCCGUCAACGGUCAGUGCCUCAUAAACGAUCCCACAGCGGACGAGGAGUGGCGGCGUGUGGCAGCGGCCGCAGCGGAGACCCAGCGUCUGCUGGCACCGGGCGGCGCCGUGGGAGGCGUGGGAGGCGUAGCGCUCAGGACGCAGGCCCCGCUGGGCGCGCCACUCAUCCUGUCGCCGCGCAUGUCGCAAGGCGCGCAGGCCGGCCUGCUCAACGGUUCAGGCGCACAGGCCGCCGCUGGCUUGCUGUCGCCCGGAGAGCCCGCGCACCAGCUCAUCUACGCCUCUCCUUACGACUACGCCAACUACGCCGCGCUGACCGCUGCCGCCGCCAACCCGCUGCUCACCACCGAGUACGCUGCCGCCGACCAUACGGCACGUGAUUUGACCGAUUGCAUCUGGAGCGUUAUAUGGAGGGAUUAUCCUGCUGCGCGAUAUUAGACUUUAUAGCCCCGAAACAAAGUAAAUUAUACACAAAAAUCGGUUAACGGUUACAGACGCUGCUAGAUCACUAAAACAGCUAUUUAUUUAAAUUAAUUUAACAAAAAAACCAAUCAGGCUCGUGAUUACACAGCACUAACAAACUAAUGUACACUAUUCUAACGUAUGGUGUCGAGCUUUUGUUGAACUGUGUGUGAUAUAAAUAUUUUAAUGGGGUUUGCAGCGUCGAGAUAUCUGCUAGCUGGCUUUUGACAUUGGCCGCAACAGCCCACAAUAAGAUAUGGCAGACUGCAAGCGCCGUAUCGCACUACGCAUCAUUAUUGCCGUCCUUGAUAUCAUAAUCCUCCUUCUAAACGCCUCACAGGACGUCCUCUUUACAGUCAUAAUAAAACGCCAUGAUCAAUUUAUAGUUUAAGAAUUAUUGUUUUAAGUACGUUUAGCUUAACGACUCAUUAUUUUGUACCUACGAUGUUAUCGUCUUUAAUAUUUACGAACAUUGUUUUUUCUUCUACAGCUGUUUUGUACAGUUUCAUACAAAUUAUAACUUUUGUUUUUACUUGACAGUCAAAGAUAUAUUAUUUAUUAUAUAACAGAUAUAAUUUUACUAUUUAUUCAAAUUAAUAUAAUGACGAUUAUUAUCAAAAUAUUUAUUGAGAAUAUAUUUUCUUUUAUAGCAGUUGUUUCGUGUUAGGGUUGAUGGCAGUUAAUUAUUGUUUUUUUUUUUAAAUUAGAUAUUAUUUUAGUUGAAUAUAAACUGCCAAUAGAACUCUAUAUAAGUUACCGAUGUUUUAUACAAAGACGUAGAGUUUUUAUAUAUUUAUUUACUUGUCUCGUUACACUUCACUCGAAUGAUGAUAGAUACGAAUAGAUCCCAUCAUUUAGUUCUUGUGAUAACCCUUGCUUGUAACACAACUAAUUUAUUAACAUUAUGUUAAUGUAGAAUCAAACUCCAUUGAAUUUUGGACUAAGUUAUAUCUUACUUAAAAGUAUUAUCAUAUAUUUAAAAAUUCCACCAUAUAUGCAUGUGGUUUGUUUCCAUCCUUUGUCUAUAUUUCCAGUUAAAUACUUGUGAAUAACAAAUUGAAAUUUUCGUAUUAACAAUAGUAUAUCUGAAUGACGCAAUGAGUUGAAUAGUUAAUUCAGCGAUUACAAGCAAAAGGGACCAAAUACAAAUUGAUUUACGAAAGGAACACAUUAUUACAUAUUUAACUAUAUUUUAACAAAACUGACAAAAUUAAUAACGCGAUACACACUCACAUACGAACAAAACGUGGAACAUUCUAGGCGGUUUUAAAUGUUUAUAUACGUUUAACGCGUAAGAAUAACUUUGGCACCAGUAUCGUGCACACUGUUAUUUUUACAAAUAUUAUAUCGUAACUUAUUAAUUUAUUAGCCAUAUUAUUAUAUUUAUAAACAUACCAUAGGCUAAGUAUUAUUAUUAUCUUUAAAAGAUUUCUAGUUAGGUUAGAAAAGAGUGAGCUUUAUGAAAAUAUUAUACACCCGUAUAUUAUUGUUUAGGUUUAUUAUAUCGCAGUUAACACUGUAGUCAAUUUUAAUUAAAACAUGAAAUUAUCGAUGCCAGCCAUUACCUGUACCUUGAUCGGGCGUUCGUAGACCCGUUCGUUUAAAUAUUUUAUUUUGUUAUAUUUUCCAAAGCAAUAAAAUAGAUAAUAGAGUAUAGGCCUAAGCAUAAUAAUAGACUUUAGUGUUACUGCCAAAUGAAGAUUUAAUAAUAAAAUUAUAUCUUAGUAUUACCGAACGACAAUGACGAGUAUUUGGCAGUGAUAUCUAGGUACUUGCGAUCGUUAAGUGUAGAAAACGAAAUCAUUUUUUUUUUCUAUUUCUAUUUUAUCGAUGAGAUUAAAUUCUUUGCAGCAUUUAGAUGUAAAACCACACCCAGUUCUAUAUAGUCUAUCAGCUUUAAAUGUAUUUGUAUUCCAAAUUGGUUUUCCAGUGAAUUUCUAUAAUCUUUAAUAGCAAAGGUCUGGGUUCACCGACUCGGUGUUGGAAGCUUUUAAUGUUGAGCCAAGACGCAGAUGUUAAAUGUGUAUAUGCCGCUAGGUGUGGUGAGGAGGGCGCAACGGCUCGCGCAGGUCAGGGAGCACCCUUACCAGCGCACUGCCUUACCGGCGCCUUAAUUCCCGCCAAAACGCUCUCACGCCGCCAUUUUGUUCACAAGGUGAGUGCUAACGGCGCCGAGGAACUAACAGGAGUCGCGGCCGGCCGCUCCACGCCGGCCCCCUAUGUCGCCGCGUAACAUACUCAUCGGAACAUCGACCACCAUGUAGCUAUUAGCUGUUGGGCCUUUCACGUUUAACAUUAUACUAUGUAUUAUAAUAGUCUAACUAUUAACAUUUAUAUGCCUGUUAUGUUUAUAACAUGAUGAACUUUAUUAACAUUUUAUAUAAUUUUAUGAAAUGGCACACGCCAUCGACUAUAUUUACUAUAUUGUAUCUUAUUGUACUUCUGUUGUCGCUUGAACGUGUUGUUGUUGAAGCACGAGUGUUGUUAGGAUACCCGGACAAAUCACGGCGUUAAAUGUGCUACUUAUGUAUUUCAUUUAAUAGUUAUUUAUAGUUUUUUAUUUAAAGUUAUUUAAAUAGAGUAUAUUUAAAAAAAAAUCGCACCUUUAGCGCCGUCCCCACAAAAAGAUGGUUUGAGUAAAAUUUUUAUUUCUAACUAAAGCUUAAUUCAUGCAGUAGCUAGAGUUAAUUUGACACUGAAAAUGACUUUUGCUAACACUUCUUGCUUUUUUUUAUCUUCCCAGAAACUGUAAACAUUUCUUCGUUAGCUUGCAACUAGUAUGAAUUAAGCUUUGUGAAACAACGUCAUAACGUGAACUAAGUAACUAUCCACCUAAUGUUAGAUGAAAAGUCUAUCAAAGUUCUAUGUAUGUACCAUAGUAUGUAGUAUAUUAGUAUACUACGCACGCAAUUUACACACGUACAUACGUACACUGAUCGUUUGGCGCUACAUGGAUAGUCUGUGGCGCGGCGCGAGAACAAGAUGGCGUCGAGCAAGAGGUCAAGUAAGUACCUACGAUGCUAAAAUAUUUUAAAAUUGCUUUUCAUAAAAAUAAUUGGACUGACAUUGGAUUAUAGUCUAAUAUAGGUUGUUUCUCCAUAUACUCAUCAACCCAACAAACCUUUGGCAAACAUUUUACAUUACUUUAAAACCAAAGACUAAAUAAAUUAUAGUAAUAUUUGACUACGUUUUCUGUUCAAAUUCAAAAUUAAUCAAUGUCUUCCUUGAAACAUACAAUGGUGUUAUAUUGGUCGAUGAGUGUAUGGAUUCUCAUACGAAAUAAUUAAUAUUUAUAGCAUUGUAUUUUACUCUUAGUGCUUAAUAUUUAUAGUUAACUUUGAAUAUGUGUACAUCCCAUGUGCCUUAAUUAAAUGUACAAUGUUCUUACCUUUUUUGGUUCUAUAGAAAUUGUUAUAAUGCUAAUUACUAGCUAAGUUAGAAGAGAUUAAAUUAUUGUUAACUUUUCUAAAUGUUAAUUUUUAUACAUUUAUCGUCGUCAGUUUUAGAAUAUUAUUUGUCUAAGAAUAUAAAUAAUAAUACCCAAAUGUUUUAGUGUCUAGUAGAUUUACGUUAGUUGUGGAACAUUAUUAACUUUUAUAAGUGCCUUCGUUACAAUCUCUUCGGGAAUCUCUAGAUUCGUUCUAUUUUAUAUAAUUGUCAGAGAUCUGCAGUAUGUUUAUACAGUGAAAAAUAUAUUACCCAUUAAUAAUCUCAAAGAUUACACAGUGUUAUUGUAACAAGGGCAAUUCGUCAUGCUUUGUUAUGUGUUAGCUUACAUAAUGUAAUGUGAAAGCAAUAUUAUAACAAUAACGGAACACGAUUAGUGCAAUAGAGAUGUUAUAAUACUAAAUAAUAUUUUAUUAUUAAAGAAAUCUCGACUCGAUAAAGUUGGGAGAAUAUUUUUACAAGAUUUUAUAGAGAUCUGAUAUUGAGAUUAAUGCGGUAGGUGAAACUAUAUUAUCACGAUUGUUAUCUGUAAAGAUACAUAUUUUCUUUAAAAUUAAAUUGUUUAUAAGUUAUUAGAGUAAAAGAGCUAAUUAGUUGGUAACAUUUUUAUCGUUUUGCAUUAAAUUAGGUGCUUCGUCGAGAGUUUUGGGAAAAGAAAUUUCUAAAAAUACAUGAAAUAAAUCUUUUUUUUUUUUUGUUUCUUAAUAAGUAAUGUUAUGUCGAAUAACUACAAAAGAUAUGUAGAUAAUCCUCGUAAUUCUGUGAAAAUAUUUCAUCGAAGUUGUUAACACUCCGUCCAUGAUUAUUUCAUAAAUAAGUACUUAAUUUUCUUGGUCUCCACUCAUGCAUAGUUAAGUACGAUUAAUUUGAGAUGCCAAUUCAUUCGCAUCAUUGUGUUAACACUUGAAAAUGUUCAUUUAGAAAUAUAAAAUUCCCCACGUUCAUAUAAUUAGGGCAAAAUUAAUUUUAUGUCUUGGUUACAUCUCCCAUAAAAUCAUCUCAUGUAAUCGUACACGUAAAUUUUGUUUUUAUUUCCUCACCGUUAAGUCUAAAGUUGCUUGUUCAUAGUUUGAUGGACAAUGGUUAAAAUAUUUUAUUGUUAUCCUUUUCAAAUCAUAGAUGAAUUACUUCCAUAAAGUUUAUAUGAAGCAGUGCUUGAAAACUGUUCAUCCUUCAUCAUACAUCUAUACAUAGUUCGUACAAAUCAUACUAAUACAAAAAAAGCAUUUAAAGAUAUAAUCAUAAAAUGCAAAAUGCCAUAACAACUCGAGGAAUCCGUUUCAUUUAAAUGUUAAAAUAUGUGAUGAAAUAGAUGUGUUUAACGUACAAAUAUUAUAAUUGUCUGCAAAUAACUAGUAAUACUGUGUUUCAUAAGCAAUAACAUUAGUAAAUUUGUUUCUUGAAACAUGCUUAGUGCCAUUAGCAGACGGGCUUUUUACAUGUCAUUGUUUUUUUUAAUAUUAAUUUGUACUUAUUGUUAAGGCGAAUACUAAUCGAGUGCCUUAAAAGAACUUGUACAUAUUUAUUAUUAUCUUUCAUUAAAGUAUUAAUAUAGAGGAGAAUAACAAAAUCUAAAAUUGUUUUCCAAAAACAAUAUAAUAUAGAUAAUAAAUCAGUUUAGUUAAGUGAGAUUGUGCAUAUUAUGUAUGUUUUGAUGUGUGUCUAAGAUUGAUUUGGUAUUAGUAAAUAUUUAAAAAACGUA